rnacentral:rRNA from 1 species
AAUAGAUACCCCGGUAGUCCACGCCGUAAACGAUGGAUGCUAGCUGUUAUGAGUAUCGACCCUUGUAGUAGCGAAGCUAACGCGUUAAGCAUCCCGCCUGUGGAGUACGAGCGCAAGCUUAAAACAUAAAGGAAUUGACGGGGACCCGCACAAGCGGUGGAGCGUGUUGUUUAAUUCGAUGAUAAGCGAAGAACCUUACCAAGGCUUGACAUCCCUGGAAGGUCUCCGAAAGGAGACUGUGCCUUCGGGAAUCAGGUGACAGGUGAUGCAUGGCCGUCGUCAGCUCGUGUCGUGAGAUGUUUGGUUAAGUCCAUCAACGAGCGCAACCCUUAUAAAUAGUUGAAUUUUUCUAUUUAGACUGCCUCGGUAACGGGGAGGAAGGAGGGGAUGACGUCAGGUCAGUAUUUCCCUUAUGCCUUGGGCUACAAACACGCUACAAUGGCCGGUACAAAGGGCAGCCAACCCGCGAGGGGGAGCAAAUCCCAUCAAAACCGGUCCCAGUUCGGAUAGCAGGCUGAAACUCGCCUGCUUGAAGUCGGAAUCGCUAGUAAC